AGGGAAUCUUCCGCAAUGGACGAAAGUCUGACGGAGCAACGCCGCGUGAGUGAAGAAGGCCUUCGGGUCGUAAAACUCUGUUGCCGGGGAAGAACAAGUGCCGUUCGAACAGGGCGGUGCCUUGACGGUACCCGGCCAGAAAGCCACGGCUAACUACGUGCCAGCAGCCGCGGUAAUACGUAGGUGGCACGCGUUGUCCGGAAUUAUUGGGCGUAAAGCGCGCGCAGGCGGUUUCUUAAGUCUGAUGUGAAAGCUUGCGGCUCAACCGCAAGCGGUCAUUGGAAACUGGGAGGCUUGAGUGCAGAAGAGGAGAGUGGAAUUCCACGUGUAGCGGUGAAAUGCGUAGAGAUGUGGAGGAACACCAGUGGCGAAGGCGGCUCUCUGGUCUGUAACUGACGCUGAGGCGCGAAAGCGUGGGGAGUAAAC
rnacentral:rRNA from 1 species